rnacentral:rRNA from 1 species
AAUGAACGCUGGCGGCGUGCUUAACACAUGCAAGUCGCACGAGAAAGCCUUGGCUUGCCAGGGCGAGUAAAGUGGCGCACGGGUGAGUAACGCGUGGGUAAUCUACCCUCGAAUUUGGGAUAACCCCUCGAAAGCGGGGCUAAUACCGGAUAACAUCACAGUUUUUUCGGCGGUGGUGAUCAAAGGGGGCCUCUACAUGUAAGCUACUGUUUGGGGAUGAGCCCGCGUACCAUUAGCUAGUUGGUAGGGUAACGGCCUACCAAGGCGACGAUGGUUAGCUGGUCUGAGAGGAUGAUCAGCCACACUGGAACUGGCACACGGUCCAGACUCCUACGGGAGGCAGCAGUGAGGAAUUUUGCGCAAUGGGGGUAACCCUGACGCAGCAACGCCGCGUGAGUGAUGAAGGCCUUCGGGUCGUAAAACUCUGUCAAGUGGGAAGAACCUAUGGGGGGCUAAUAUCCCUUUGUACUGACGGUACCACUGAAGGAAGCACCGGCUAACUCCGUGCCAGCCGCCGCCGUAA